rnacentral:rRNA from 1 species
UACGUAGGGGGCAAGCGUUGUCCGGAAUCAUUGGGCGUAAAGAGCGUGUAGGCGGCUUGGUAAGUCCGCUGUGAAAGUCCAGGGCUCAACCCUGGAAUGCCGGUGGAAACUGUCAAGCUUGAGUCCGGAAGAGGCGAGUGGAAUUCCUGGUGUAGCGGUGAAAUGCGCAGAUAUCAGGAAGAACAUCCGUGGCGAAGGCGGCUCUCUGGGACGGUACUGACGCUGAGACGCGAAAGCGUGGGGAGCGAACAGG